rnacentral:lncRNA from 1 species
GUCGCCAGAAAUUAAAUCUGGAAUUAAAAAUAGUAGAUUAGCUAUAUUUUUAUUACUGUCAUUACUGUAAUUACUUCAGUGGCAUUCUCAAGACUGCUGCCCAAAGGAGAUUCUAAGAGAGUUGGCUACAGCAGCUUUAAUGCAGUAAAUGUUUGGAAAUCCAGGGCUUUUGUAAGACAACAUUUGUUUAAAAAAAAAUGGGACGGGGGGAUGAUGUUACCUAUAUUUCUUCUAUUUCUGUAUUAUUGUUAAAAAAUUUAAUAUGACCAGGUAUGACACAAUAAGACAUUUGAAUUUAUACUGAAGGGGAAAAAAAAAUAUUGCACUGAUCAUUAUCAUAAAGAAGUU